GGGUUGUGAGGUUAAGCGACUAAGCGUACACGGUGGAUGCCCUGGCAGUCAGAGGCGAUGAAGGACGUGCUAAUCUGCGAAAAGCGCCGGCGAGGUGAUAUGAACCCUUGACCCGGCGAUGUCCGAAUGGGGAAACCCAGUGUGAUUCGUCACACUAUCGUUAACUG
rnacentral:rRNA from 1 species